rnacentral:lncRNA from 1 species
ACUAUUUCAAUGUACGUGGUGAAUAUAUAAAACUAAAAAAAAAAUUAUAGAUGUAUUAUGAGUAUUAUAUAUGAAUUUCAAACAUUUCAAUAUAAUUUAAAUCAUGUUCCGUUAUUAAAAAUAUAUUAUAUUAGUUAAAUAACAACUUUCAAAUUCACAAAAAUGUAUAAUAUUUGAAUUCCAAUUGCAUUACGGCGAUUCUCUGUUAGAUUCAAUUUUAAUGCAAUAUUAAAUAUUCUAAUUAUUUUAUCACAUUUCGAUCAUUUUCAUUUACCCCAAUUCCUAGAAAUUUCCACCUCUUAUCAGAAAAGAUCCGCCAUGUUCCUCUGAAAAAUUCCUCCGAUGAACAACUCAACCAACAAAUCCAACUCACCUAACAAAAGCCAAGAAAUGACUAGAUCUAGCCAAAAUUGGUGGUUACUGUUGGAAUAAUGAUGGUCGGUCCUAGCAGUGGGAGUGUUGGUGGUGGUGGAUUUCACCCAAAAAAUGGGGAAAAUAGGAGUUUGGCGGGUGGUUAUGUAAUGUUGAGGAAGGUGUAAGAAUGGAGAAGCAAAUCUUUUUGUAAAAGGUGUAAAAGUGAAGAAUGACCAGAUCUGGACGAUUUUACUGUUGUUUCGUAGUAGCUUCGGCGGCGUAAGUUCGCCGAAGAAGACUUUGAUUGGUAUGUGAUUUCUGAUUGGAGAGGGUGGAGGAAGAGUAAUAAAUUGUAAAAGUAGGCUAUAAUAAAUUUACAUUAUAUUAUUUAUGUAAUUAUUCCUAUUUUAUGACAUUAGUAUUGAUUUGGAUUUUAUUUGAGUUAUUUAUGAGUUAUAAAACUUAGGGGGGAAAAAUGAUACCUAAAAUUAAAAUAAUAUCAUAAAAAUAGCACCCAUAAUUAAAUACUCACUAAAUAAUCACUCCCAGUUUAUGUGUAUCAUUUCAUCUUCUUCUUCAUGCUUUUCUCUAUUCCAACCAUAUAAUAGAUUUCACAUAGAAAUUAAAAAAAAAAAUCGAAUUCAACCUUUCAAAAUUCAAUCAAUUUCACCCUAAUUCCCAAUCUCAGAUACCAAAAUUUAAAUCUUCACAAAAUUCAACACAAAAUUAACAGAAAAAACAAAAAAAAAAUCAGAAAAACCCAUCACCAAAAUCUAU